rnacentral:rRNA from 1 species
GAUGAACGCUGGCGGCGUGCCUAAUACAUGCAAGUCGAGCGAAUGGAUUAAGAGCUUGCUCUUAUGAAGUUAGCGGCGGACGGGUGAGUAACACGUGGGUAACCUGCCCAUAGGACUGGGAUAACUCCGGGAAACCGGGGCUAAUACCGGAUAACAUUUUGAACCGCAUGGUUCGAAAUUGAAAGGCGGAUUCGGCUGUCACUUAUGGAUGGACCCGCGUCGCAUUAGCUAGUUGGUGAGGUAACGGCUCACCAAGGCAACGAUGCGUAGCCGACCUGAGAGGGUGAUCGGCCACACUGGGACUGAGACACGGCCAGACUCCUACGGGAGGCAGCAGUAGGGAAUCUUCCGCGAUGGACGAAAGUCUGACGGAGCAACGCCGCGUGAGUGAUGAAGGCUUUCGGGUCGUAAAACUCUGUUGUUAGGGAAGAACAAGUGCUAGUUGAAUAAGCUGGCACCUUGACGGUACCUAACCAGAAAGCCACGGCUAACUACGUGCCAGCAGCCGCCGUAA